GUAGGGGGCAAGCGUUAUCCGGAUUUACUGGGUGUAAAGGGAGCGUAGACGGAUGGACAAGUCUGAUGUGAAAGGCUGGGGCUCAACCCCGGGACUGCAUUGGAAACUGCCCGUCUUGAGUGCCGGAGAGGUAAGCGGAAUUCCUAGUGUAGCGGUGAAAUGCGUAGAUAUUAGGAGGGACACCAGUGGCGAAGGCGGCUUACUGGACGGUAACUGACGUUGAGGCUCGAAAGCGUGGGGAGCAAACAGGAUUAGAUACCCUGGUAGUCCACGCGGUAAACGAUGAAUGCUAGGUGUCGGGGAGCAAAGCUAUUCGGUGCCGCCGCAAACGCAUUAAGCAUUCCACCUGGGGAGUACGUUCGCAAGAAUG
rnacentral:rRNA from 1 species